rnacentral:rRNA from 1 species
GAACGCUGGCUCCAUGCCUAACACAUGCAAGUCGAACGGUAACGCGGGGGCAACCCUGGCGACGAGUGCCCGACGGGUGAGUAAUACGUAGGAAUCUGCCCAUUUGUGGGGGAUAACCCGGCGAAAGCCGGGCUAAUACCGCAUACGCUCUACGGAGGAAAGCAGGGGAUCGCAAGACCUUGCGCUAAUGGAUGAGCCUACGUCGGAUUAGCUAGUUGGUAGGGUAACGGCCUACCAAGGCGACGAUCCGUAGCUGGUCUGAGAGGACGAUCAGCCACACUGGGACUGAGACACGGCCCAGACUCCUACGGGAGGCAGCAGUGGG